UACGUAGGAUGCAAGCGUUAAUCGGAAUUACUGGGCGUAAAGCGUGCGCAGGCGGUUUUGUAAGUCUGACGUGAAAUCCCCGGGCUCAACCUGGGAAUUGCGUUGGAGACUGCAAGGCUAGAAUCUGGCAGAGGGGGGUAGAAUUCCACGUGUAGCAGUGAAAUGCGUAGAGAUGUGGAGGAACACCGAUGGCGAAGGCAGCCCCCUGG
rnacentral:rRNA from 1 species